AAAACGUGAAGGAGAACAUUGGAAGGAAAAAAGGGGGAAAUAUGGGGAAAAUGGAAGGGAGAAUGUGAAGGAAAGGGGGAACGCUGGGAGGAUAUUGGGGGAAAUAUGAGGGGAAAUGGGGAAAAUAUGAAGGUCUCGACGUGGAUCAGGAAGCAGUGGACCCACUGCUCUGCCAUUCAACCCAUAGGCUUGAAAAGUUGGCAAAAGAGCGUUUUAACCCCAAAUGUUUGCUGUUUGCACGCAUUUCCCCCCCGCCUGGAAAUGAGGAACAAGAGGCAGCACACGCGAUGGCACACUGAUGAGCCGCCAGCUCGUUAAUUAGUGAGUCGCUAAUUAAUGAGUCGUUAAUUAAUGAGUCGUUAUCCAGCGACGCACCCGUGCCAAACGGCCAUGAAGAAACAUGGGGAACCAACAGAAGGUUGGUGAAGAGCGCGGAACGCCACCUCAUUUUAGGCAAGAAGGCCAC
ensembl:lncRNA